rnacentral:rRNA from 1 species
UACGUAGGGUGCGAGCGUUGUCCGGAAUUAUUGGGCGUAAAGAGCUUGUAGGCGGUUUGUCGCGUCUGCCGUGAAAAUUCGAGGCUCAACCUCGAACUUGCGGUGGGUACGGGCAGACUAGAGUGUGGUAGGGGAGACUGGAAUUCCUGGUGUAGCGGUGAAAUGCGCAGAUAUCAGGAGGAACACCGAUGGCGAAGGCAGGUCUCUGGGCCACUACUGACGCUGAGAAGCGAAAGCAUGGGGAGCAAAAGGG